ensembl:lncRNA
AGCUGGAGGAGCGUUCGCUGGGAAAUCGAUGGCCGCUGGACUGCUGUUAAGAGGAGUUUAAUUGCAAAUAAAAGAGGAUUUAUCACUGCUGCCGAAGACAAAAUGAGAUGUUCUGAA